rnacentral:rRNA from 1 species
UACGUAGGUGGCAAGCGUUAUCCGGAUUUACUGGGUGUAAAGGGCGUGUAGGCGGGACUGCAAGUCAGAUGUGAAAAUUAUGGGCUCAACCCAUAACCUGCAUUUGAAACUGUAGUUCUUGAGUGAUGGAGAGGCAGGCGGAAUUCCGUGUGUAGCGGUGAAAUGCGUAGAUAUACGGAGGAACACCAGUAGCGAAGGCGGCCUGCUGGACAUUAACUGACGCUGAGGCGCGAAAGCGUGGGGAGCAAACAGG